rnacentral:rRNA from 1 species
CGCAUCUGUGCAUGCAGCAUAUCAAUAAGCGGAGGAAAAGAAACUAACAAGGAUUCCCCUAGUAACGGCGAGGUGAAGCGGGAAGAGCUCAAAUUUGAAAUCUUAAAGGGUUUCCCUUUACGAAUUGUAGUUUAAAGAAGUGUUUUCUGUUGAGGUUUUGGUAAAAGUUCUUUGGAAUAGGACAUCAUAGAGGGUGAGAAUCCCGUAUUUGACCUUUACUUUCAACUUUGUGAUACACUUUCAAAGAGUCGGAUUGUUUGGGAAUGCAGUCCAAAAUGGGUGGUAAAUUUCAUCUAAAGCUAAAUAUUGGCGAGAGACCGAUAGCGAACAAGUACCGUGAGGGAAAGAUGAAAAGAACUUUGAAAAGAGAGUUAAACAGUACGUGAAAUUGUCAAAAGGGAAGCGUUUGACACCAGUGUUGUUUUUCUGAAAGUCAAUUAAAGAACUGUUUAUGCUAAGUUGUUUAGACUUUAUCAGCUAUCUGUUUAGUUUUGAGCUUUUCUUUAAUGCACUUUUCAGUUAACAAGUCAACAUCAAUUUCUUUUGCUGUAAAAAAGCUUGAGGAAGGUGGCUUGAGAUUCGUCUUAAGUGUUUAUAGCCUCUUGCCUAUGCAGUCGGAGAGAUUGAGGUCUGCAGCGUAGAUCCUUCGGGGCUAAAUGCAUUUGUGCUAAGUUAUAGCAUUUUAUAGACAACUUGUUGACUAUGAUUUGUCUUGUAGCUUACUCGCUUAUGUUAUUUUACCUACGCUUAGGAUGUUGAGUCGUAGAGCACGCAG